UCCUCUCUUGUCAGGGAUCUUCAGCUGCAAAAUAUCAAUAUUAUAGUCGUUGAUAUUAGCACGUUUGAAAUGGAGGCUUCUUACGACAGAAUAUUUUCCAUAGAAAUGUUUGAGGUUAGGAUUUGUGAAUAAAUAAUUAGUGUCAACGACACGUUUUCUUGUAUUUUAGAGUCAGCUUUGACCUUGAUGCAGCAUAUGAAGAACUACAAAGACCUUCUGAAGAAGAUAUCCAAAUGGAUGAAAGAAGAUNGCCUUUUAUUUGUGNAUUACUUCUGCCACAAAGCAUUUGCCUACCACUUUGAGGUGAACCCAAUACUACACUGUUNAACNACUUGNCCAUUGNGAUGUUAUAUUUGUGAUAUAUAUUAGUCAAUGCAUUAACAANGCUAGUGAGNUUUCAANUUUUCAUAGAUNUAAUUCAUUUACCUACUACUUGCUACUUCUUCAUGAAGGACAAAAAUGAAGAUGACUGGAUUACAAGAUACUUCUUUACUGGAGGAACCAUGCCUUCAGCAAAUCUACUUCUUUAUUUUCAAGUGAGUUUCCUAUGCUUCUUGUGCCAGCUUUGUUAUUAACAAAUGGUAUCUCUGUAUCCCGUCAAAUGUUGUCUUGUGUUAUAUGAAGGAAAAAAACUGUCUCCUUAAAAGAAAAAACGGGAAAAGAAAGAAGUAUCUGCUAUACUUUUGUUUAACACCUUUAUAUCACGUCCAGAAUCAGCUCACUUGUAACCAACUGUCUUCUUUGCUGAUGGAUGUAGGAUGAUGUUACAGUCAUCAACCAUUGGCUGGUAAAUGGUAAACACUACGCACAGACCAGGUUAGAAUCAACUUCACUGCUAAAUGAACACCUUUAUAUCUGCUAUACUCCACCGGUAAUUGAUUCAUUUACAAAGCAAGUUCGAAACCACUUCUAAAAAAAAUGAAUACAUGUCGCAGUGAAGAAUGGCUGAAAAGAAUGGACAAGAGAAUGACUUACAUCAAGCCAAUUAUGCAAUCAACGUAUGGCAAUGAUUCAGCUACCAAGUGGACUGCCUAUUGGAGAACAUUCUUCAUAGCUGUGGGGGAACUUUUCGGAUAUAAUAACGGUGAAGAAUGGAUGGUUGCUCAGUUUCUUUUCAAAAAGAAAUGAAAUAAGCCAUAACCUGAUUUUUUAAUUUGAGAAGGGCUUCCAAACCUAUUUGACUAUUUGUCCUAACCAUUUAGGACAAAGAAAGCUGCCAAAUCGAAGUUGCACAUUUCAAUAAUGCUGUGUUUAUAAGUUAACUUAGUUUAUUGGGUUGUUUGACUUUAUUUUCUCUUGGUUCUCAAUCCUUUGCACUUUAGUUCAAACUUUAAUUUGGUUCUUCUAUGAUGUUAUACUUUGUAACAAACAUGGUAAAGCGCAAGGUAGAUGACCGUAUGCAUGCUCGCUCCAUUCUCAGUCUCCUUCCUUCCCCUGAAACUACAAUUUUAUCAUGUUUUUGAAUGAAAUGGUUUUUGCUUCCAAUUGCGGGGUUUUGGCAUUUUAAGUUUAUUUAAUGUUUUUUUAGUAGUAAUAUUUUUUUUUAUUGAUGUUAUUUUUUGUCAUCCAGAUUAUAUCGAGUGAUAUAAUUUUUUUAUGUUGAACAUUAAACAAGAUUGUUUUAAGUUAAUGCUAAUUAUAAUUAUUUAGAUUAAAAUGUUAUUUUUAUAACAUUAUAAUAGUUGAUAAUUUUUGUUUACUUUUUUUUUUUUGUCAUAAAAGUUAACCGAAUAUGCUCCCCAAUUGACAUUGGUGAAAAACAAUUCUUAUUAAUCUUAGCUGAAAAUUUUCUAGAUAACACUAAAAAAAUUAAUAACAAACGUGAAAAAUAAGGGUGUUGCUCUCUACAUCUCCCCAAGUAGGACCUGUACCUUCCUAUUAAUUUAAUUUAUUUCAAAAAUAUUUUAUAACUCUCCACUAUUUUCUUUUAUUCCAAAAAUACCCUACACCUCCCAACUAUCAUUAACCAUCUUUCUCUUUCUCUCUCUACAUUAAUGGAGCAUUUAUAUGGCUAAAUAAUAGAACAUUUACAUGACUUAAAUUUGAAGUUAGAUAUAUUUUCUUAAAUAAGUUUGAUUCAAUCUUAUUUUCNUUNUUGAAUAUAUUUUUUUCUUUUCAAAUUACUUAAUAAAUGGUAAAAUUUUGUUCUAAAUUUCUAGAAAAAUGUUUAUAUGCAUGUAUAUUUUUUUUUACAUAUAAUAUCUAUAAUUUUUAACAUUAUAUUAUGUUUUAAUUCACCGACAUGUUUGACUCAAAUAACUUGAAUAAAAUAUUUAAUUUAUUAGAUAAAUAAUAUAAAAAUAUUAUUAAAUACUUAAAAUAUAAAAAAAAAAAAGUUAUUUGUUAAAAAUUUAGAAUUUAUUUAGUUCUUUCGUCAUUAUAAAGUUAGUAUAUAAUAAUAAUAUAUCAUUAUUUACUAUUAAUAUUAUUAUGUUUAUUAUUUUGUAUUUGCAUCUAACUUUUAAUUUUAUAAAAUAGAAUUGGUAAAAAUACUAAUAUUGAAGUUUCCUCUUAAUUUUAUAUUUUGUAGUAUGUUACAAAUUCAAAUCUGAACCAUGUGAAUGCCCCAUUAAUGUAGAGAGAGAAAGAAAAAGAAUGUUAAGGAUAGUGGAGAGGUGUAGGGUAUUUUUGGAAUAAAAGAAAAUAGUGGAGAGAUGUAGAAUAUUUUUGAAAUAAACUAAAUUAAUGGGGAGGUACAGGUCCGCUUGGAAGGUGUAGGGAGCAACACCCGAAAAAUAAUACAUCUAUCGAUGAUAUAAAAAAAUUCACACCAACAAAAAAAUAAUAAUUAGACAUACAUCAAUUAAAAGAAAUCUAAUUUAUAUUCAUAACAAUUAUCUUAUCGAUCUUGACUAAGAAAAGUCUCACUAAUAUUAAGGAAGAAAUAAUGGUAAUUUACAAAACAAAAUUAUUUCAAUAAUUUAAAUAAUAAAAUAACUCUAUUAUCAUCAGUAAAAAGAAAAUCUUAAUUGACUGGGCAACGUGUGUGAUAGUUCCUACAACCAAUAACCUUAUAAAGUUUUGCAUCGAAAAAAUGCAAUUACUCCGAGAAUUUAACUAUUUAGAUCUUUUAAAAAAAAUUACGAGAAUUGAUAAGUUAUCUUUAGAAGUAACGACUUAAAAUGAUUAUCUUUAUUUUUUUAAACCUUUUUAUUGAAAAAUGGUGGUGACUUUUGUGAAAUCAUUAUUUAUAAGGUGUUUUUUUUUAUAUUUAAUAAAUUAUAUUUCUUUAUUUAAAUUUAAGAAAUAAAUUUUACAUUUAAAAGUUUUUUUUAUGUAAAAAUUUUUAAAUACAUUUAAGUGUUUAUAUUUUAUAAGAUGUAGUUAAACUUUUUUAGCCACAUACUUUGAAUAAAAUCUUUGAAACUUAAAUUGAGUUUUGAUUAUUGAAAGAUAGAAUAAAAAAUUAAAAUAAUUACGGUGAAUAUUUGAAUUGAAAUGGAAAUUAUUAUUGAAUACAAAUAAAUUAUGUUUAUUAGCAAAUGUUACUCUAAGAUAGUUUAUUUAGAAUAUCUAUAUUGAGGGAUGUAAAGAGCUAGGUUGAACCAUGCAACAUAAAAGGUAACAACAUUCAAGAUUUUAAAUAAGACUAUGAAAGAUAACGUUAAAAGAUUGUUUUUUUUAUCUUGAAAAUACGUAUUUAUGUAAUAACCUAAUAAAAUAUUAAUAAGAUUAUGAGUAAGACUUUAAUAUAAAAGUAAAAAUUAUGAAAAAGAAAAUAUCUUAAAUAAGUUGACACAAUUGAAUCUAUAGAAAUUAAAUUUAAACAUCAUAUAUUUUAUCUCAUAAGUUGGUCUUUUAAAUUAUGUUGGUGUUAUUCGAUGAUUUUCCAUGAUAUUGUCAAUCUCUCAUUCUUCAUUUGUAUAAUUAAGAAUUUAUAUAACAUAAUGAACUAAUAACAAUCCAUGAUAUCAUUUGAUAAGAUAAUUUCAUGCUAAAAAUAUAAAUAUCAAGACAUUUAUUCUUCCACUUUCUAUAGCAAAUAAAAUAAUAAUAAUUACUGCAAUUGUGUAAUUAUGACGAUAAAUGACAAUUUACUUUAUAACGGAGUUUUUUUAUUAAUUUUUAUAACUUUAAUGCAAAUUUUAAUAAUUUUAUAAUAAUAUUUUUUAAUUUUUUAUUUAUCAUGAAAAUUGGACGCAAAUAAUAAGAAUAAUAAUUAUUAUUAUUAAAAUAAUAAUAAUAAUAAUGCUAAUAAAAAAAAAGUACAGGUAGAUUGAAGAUAAGACACUUUCCGAAAAUUGUAGAACCGUAGGUGCUACGAUUCUUGCUUCUGCACCGACGGUUCCCUUGCGGCUUCCAUGGAAGGGAUGAUGCAGCUUGCGUAUGAUGCAACGGUGAAGCUCAUGCUGUCUGCACUUGAGCGCAACCUACUCCCUGACGCCGUCACCAGGAGACUCACGCGCCUCCUUUUGGCUACUCGCCUUCGCUCUUCUUCCACCACAUACUCGGAGCUUCAGCUUUUCAACCUCCUCCACUUCGCACAUUGUACUAUUUCUUACCUUCUUAAUUUCUCUCGUCCCGAUUAUGACUGCAUUUUCAACAAUCAAUCACUAUAACAUUCUGGGAAUAAAAAAAGAAAAAUAACGAAAACAUUACUUUGCAACGUCUUAAUGUAAUGAUGUGUUUUUUUAGUUCAUUUGAUUUUGUCCGGUUAGUGAACACUUUGACCAGGAAUUUCAUGUCUCACGCUCUUUCAGCUUUACGAGAGAUGCCCAUAGCAAUCAACACCGAGAAGCCAAAAUCUCAACAUUAUGAACUACCAACCGCUUUCUUCAAGCUCGUCCUUGGAAGCAAUCUCAAAUACAGGUACUUGUAAAAUGAUUUUGUGGUCGAUUGGUAACUUUACCUAAAAAAUUCCUUUGAUUCUGUGCUAUUAGUAGAUAGUGAUCAUGUUUCUUUGAUUUAUAUUUUCGAAAGUUGAUUUUCAUUUUAUAUAUAAAAAAAAAAAAAAGACAGAAAACAGACACUCAACUAAGCUGAUGUCUCAGUCUCGCCGCCUGCAGCACUCUUGAGGUAGGAUCACAAAAUAGGUACAGACGAUGAGAAAAUAUCUUUUAACUGUUUCUAUUUUUUGGUUUAUAAAAUAAGAUCAGUAAUAAUUUUUUAAACUGGUAGACUUUACAGGCGAAAUUGAUUUUUAAGUAGCAAGGAAGGAAUUAUUUUAAGUAACAGCUUUUAAAGACAAAAGACGAGAAGAAAAUCACAUAGGACCUAAACCUUUACAACAAAAUCUUCCUAAAAGGGAGUACAGGAUGAAUUGUGCGAACAGGGCACAGGGAACAGCCAUACCAGAUCUCACUUGAUUAGCUAAAACAGGUUUGCUGUACUGAUUAAGUUAUGCGUGCAGAAGUGAAAAGAUUCAUUAUAAACAAGUCAUUUUCUGUUGCAAAAUGAAUAUGAGGGAUUUAAGUUGUUACCAAAAUAAAUUACUGACAAGUAUGUGUGCAUGAAAGAAAAAUGAAGUACGCUCACAACCUUAUGGCUAAUAUACUAUUCCCAACUGCAUGAACUCCUGCAGCUGUUGCUAUUUCUCUUCUGCCUCAACGACGCUGGAAGAUGCUGAAGAAGCAAUGUUGAAACUGUACUGCGACAGAUCAAACCUGAAAGAUGGUCAUACGGUACUCGAUGUGGGAUGUGGUUGGGGAUCGCUGGCAUUAUACAUUGCCAAGAAGUACAUUAACUGCAGAGUUACAGGAAUCUGCAAUUCCACAACUCAAAAGGCUUACAUUGAGGAAAAGUGCCGGUAUGCUGCUUGAUAUCCCCUUGUUGGCUUUAAGGCUUUAUGCAUUGCCAUUUGGCUCUGAAAAAUAUGAUUAACCAGAUGACACUUUGGUGAAAACGAUAUUGAGCUUGCGAAUUAAAUAAAUAUUGCACGAUGAUCAAAAUCACAUUCUUCUCCUCUCUUGUCAGGGAUCUUCAGCUGCAAAAUAUCAAUAUUAUAGUUGCUGAUAUUAGCACGUUUGAAAUGGAGGCUUCUUACGACAGAAUAUUUUCCAUAGAAAUGUUUGAGGUUAGGAUUUGUGAAUAAAUAAUUAGUGUCAACGACACGUUUUCUUGUAUUUUAGAGUCAGCUUUGACCUUGAUGCAGCAUAUGAAGAACUACAAAGACCUUCUGAAGAAGAUAUCCAAAUGGAUGAAAGAAGAUNGCCUUUUAUUUGUGNAUUACUUCUGCCACAAAGCAUUUGCCUACCACUUUGAGGUGAACCCAA
rnacentral:lncRNA from 1 species